GUCAGGCCUAGGCGUCCUCCAGUGGAGGCACGACCACUCCAACGUGCCAGACGGCCCUUGGCGGCGGCGUGGCCAGGACCGCGUGCUCGGCGGUCCUCGGCGGCAACACGCCCUCCCAUAUCGACGGAUCUGGCGACUUCGACCUUCCCCUCCCCACUGCAACAGCGUCGGCCUCUUCUGCCUGCACCAGGGAUGACGCUCUCCCACCACCACUCCAUGGAUGGCGAGUAGGGGCUUGUCCUACACUGGCGGAUCUAGUUGACUGCGUAAAUCUGGUAAGGCAACAUUUGUGAUUUUUACUAAUGCUUUCCUUCUCCAUCGAUGGAAAUUUUUCUCGUUACUCUGUCUCCCCCGCAUCUGGAUCUUGAACAGGGCUACCAGAGGAUGACGAGACAAGCGACGACGUGAAGCCUGUAUCUUUUUCAGAUGCGGUCCUGUAUCGUCAAAACAUCAAUCGAUAAUUUUUAGCUUUGAAGUAUCCUCGGAUACUUCUUUUUUUAGAUUGAGGUCUCACUUGAAACUUUCUGGAAUUUGUGUGUACCACUAGAUACUUCAGAUUAUAGUAGAGGCAACUCGUACAUUGUUCUACAUUUUUCUAAAGUAUUGUAUGCUAUUUGACAUUUUCUCUUUGUAUCUAUUCAUACUCUUUCGGUGCCAAAUGUACAUACUACUACAGUAUCUUGGACUAGUAUUAGUUCAUAUACUCUAUUCAAAUAUAAUUUCUUGAAUGUGAUUUUGUUUCCAAUUACAAAUAGUUAAUAUACUAUGCUCGAAUGCAGGAGGAGAAACCAUUUUUUCAAAUUUAUUACUCAUAUUAUGUAUCAUAAUAAUAUUCUCUUUAGAGUUCCAUAAACACGUAUGUGUGCAUACUCCAGCUAAUCAUGCAUCUAAUGUAUUUAGUAUGUACUCAUACGUCCAGCCAGUACAAUAUAUAUACCCAGGGAAAAAAUAGUAUAAUAUAAUAUAUAUGUCCGCAUACUCUUAAGCACGCGUACAUUAUCCUAGGAAACAAGUAUGUGCUCAUACACUCAUGUGUGUAUGUAAUCAUACUUUGAUAAAAAUAUACUUUAAUUCAUGAGUAUGUAAUCAUACUUUAAUCAAUGAAUAUGUAUCCGUACUUUAGUUAAAUCAGUCUGUUUGUUUUAUUGCUUUAUUAAUUAAAUCAGUUUGUUUGUUGCAUGCGCCACUCCUUAUCGGAUCCUUUUGAUAUCCACUAACCCACUACGCACGGUGGCCCGCGGGGACACGGACUGGCUGGCUGGAACCACACGUGCAUACUUUCAGGCAAGAGUAACUACUAGCGAGAGUACAAAAAACUUAUCCUAUAUAAGGAUAAUUCCUUUUUACUGCCGGUAGUAUUUACUCUCUCCCGUACGCUCGUCAGAUCUCCCACUCACGUUUGGCUGUGGUGGCACGGCCUAACGGAUUGAAAAAAGUUGACCCGGCCCGUUAAUUAAUUAGGCGUCCGCAAGCACAGGAAAGCAGCGCGGCUUCCCUAUGGUCACGCCUCGCGUUCAUCCUCAAUCCACAGGUGGCGUCAGGCCUAGGCGACCUCCAGUGGAGGCACGACCACUCCAACGUGCCAGGCGGCCCUUGGCGGCGGCGUGGCCAGGACCAUGCGCUCGGCGGUCCUCGGCGGCAGCACGCCCUCCCAUAUCGACAGAUCUGGCGACUUCGACCUUCCCCUCCCCACUGCAACAGCGUCGGCCUCUUCUGCCUGCACCAGGGACGGCGCUCUCCCACCACCACUCCAUGGAUGGCGAGUAGGGACUUGUCCUACACUGGCAGAUCUAGUUGACUGCAUAAAUCCGGUAAGGCAACAUUUGUGAUUUUUACUAAUGCUUUCCUUCUCCAUCGCUGGAAAUUUUUCUCGUUACUAUGUCUCCCCCGCAUCUGGAUCUUGAACAGG
rnacentral:lncRNA from 1 species